AUGUGGAAGGCUCACAGGAUCCACAAGGGAGCUACUUGUGCAGGGCUCACUCUCGACUCCUUCCCACGGCUCCACAAACCAACGUGUCCAACUCAGCUUUCCAGGGCUUCAUUACAAGGCGGAUUCUUCACUGCUGAGCCACCAGGGAAGCCCCACGUCAGGUCUGGGAGAAGGGAAAAGAGCAAGAAAGACUUGGUGCAGCUGCAGCAGGAGAGAGAAAGAGGCAGGGAACUGUUUACUAGGGGAAGAAAGAGAACCAGGAGAGACUCAGGAUGCUCAGCUGGUGGAAAGGAGAAACUGACCCUGGAUCCCAGGGACAGGCAAACCGUGAAAGUAUUCCUGGGCAGCUCCCUGUCUUCCCUCUACCAUCACUUGCCACAGAUCUGCUGCAUCCUGUCAUACUCGCUGCCCCCUCCUCUAAGCCUGCCAGUUCUAUCAUGCCUCCACCAAGUGCUCAGAUGGGCUCUUCCCUGGUCCCCCCUCCGCCUCCUUCAUCACCCAUCUGUCCCAUUCCCACACUCUACGACGAAGGUGAAGUUCAUGGUGGCACUGGGUGCCCAGGUGGUUGUACUACAAAUGAAAAGUGGUGAGAGAAAAAUGGCUUGAAAACACAAAAGCAGAGGUGUUAACGAUGAUUUAAGGUGCUGACUUCUAUUAAAGGAGACUGUGCCAGUGAUAUGAUGAGGUUGGUGGAAAAAAUAUAGGAUAUUUAGAGAAACUUUAGCUUCUAAAGCUCUGCAUAAAUUUCAACAAUUUUUGAGGACAUCAUCAGGGAAGUUGUUUUAAAAUCAGGAUUAUAAUACCUGAAACAAUAUCCUGAAAAAAUUCAGAAUCUAGUAAACUUUGUUCUUCAAAACAUUUCAGGUAAGUGGCAGUGUUUGUGGUGGCAGUUGAGGCAAAUGAGGCAAGCAGGAAACACCCUAAAUUUUGAAGUUCAACAGCUGAGCAGGAGCUAAAACCAAUCUGAUAUUUGUCUCACUGCAGAUGCAGAACUGAUCAACAAGAUGGCAAUAAUGUGUGAUGUUUUAUUCACUUUCAAAUACUUAAAUUGAUUUUGAAGAUUUCAUUUGGGAAAUAAAAGUAAUGCAUUUAAGAAAAUAGCUUAUUUAAGCCAAGGGCAGAAAGAAGAUGACAAGAAAGAAUUUGCAGGGAAUCUCUUUUGUGUCUGGAUUCAAUUUUUACUUAUUCAGAUUUUUCAUCAGUUCUUGAUCAGCCCGCAAGUUGCAGGCUAGGAUUGCAUCAGGGGAAGGUGAUGUGGAUAGCCAUACGUUCCUAGGAGGCUAGGAAGGGCAAGUGUGUAGAAGUGUGAGUUCUUGUUAGGAAAUCUGUAAGUCAGUUUCUGUGGUGUUUUUCCAAGGUCACCACAGGUUGGACCACAGGUGGCUGCUUGCUGCCUAAUGCCCUCUUGUCCUGAGGCAGGGUAGCUG
rnacentral:lncRNA from 1 species